UUCUCGCGAUAGUGAGCGAGUUCUCAUGAGAUCUGAUGGUUUUAUAAGCCUCCGGCCUUUCUCCCGCUGGCACUUACCCUCCUUCCUGCAACGAUGUGAAGAAGGACAAGUUUGCUUCCCCUUCUGCCAUGAUUGUAAGAAGACUGGUGGUGCUGCUGGAAUAAAAGGAGUGAUGGAAGACAGGUGAGGGUGUGAGGAGAAAAGAUUUGGUGAAUCACAGUUAUGUUUCCUGGCAUUAAAUCACCCUUGAAUAUUUCUAUAAUAAAUACAACAAGGAAGUUCUGGCAGAUGAAUGGAAGCUAAGCUCUCCUGGAUGGAGAGUGUUAGAAGAGACACUGGAAACUCAGUCCCAAGAUGCUCAGAGGGAAGGAAAGGAGAGAGCAACAACCUCUGGAAGAAAUGGAAGUGGUUAUCACUAAUGCAAACAUAUUACAUUGAAUGAAAGAAUCUUCUUUCACAGCUUUGCAGCAAACACACAGAAGACAUGAAGAAAAUAAGUCCACAGCCCAAAUUAUCACAACGAGUUUGGAACUUAGGAUAUCCUUCAUUUUGGCUAAUCAGAUCCCUUCCUAGUUAUGAUGGGGCAAACUUCGUAAUAACACACAGCCUGGACUCCACCAAUGGGAAUAAUUACCAUCUGUAGAAGUAUUAUGAAACUGCCUUAUAAAAGUUUUUUUAUUAAAUAUAUAAAAUUAAACUCAU
rnacentral:lncRNA from 1 species